GCCGAUGUGGCGGAAUGGUAGACGCGGCAGAUUCAAAAUCUACUCUGGGCAACUAGGCGCUGGUUGGAGUCCAGUCAUCAGUA
rnacentral:tRNA from 1 species